UAAAGGAAGCGAUUCCGGCUACGGAUGGUCAUGCGUCGCAUUAGCUAGUUGGCGGGGUAACGGCCCACCAAGGCGACGAUGCGUAGGGGUUCUGAGAGGAAGGUCCCCCACACUGGUACUGAGACACGGACCAGACUCCUACGGGAGGCAGCAGUGAGGAAUAUUGGUCAAUGGCCGCAGGGCCGAACCAGCCAAGUCGCGUGAGGGAUGACGGUCCUAUGGAUUGUAAACCUCUUUUGUCAGGGAGCAAAGGGCGCCACGUGUGGCGCUUUGCGAGUACCUGAAGAAAAAGCAUCGGCUAACUCCGUGCCAGCAGCCGCGGUAAUACGGAGGAUGCGAGCGUUAUCCGGAUUUAUUGGGUUUAAAGGGUGCGCAGGCGGAAUGUCAAGUCAGCGGUAAAAUUUCGGGGCUCAACCCCGUCGUGCCGUUGAAACUGGCGUUCUUGAGUGAGCGAGAAGUAUGCGGAAUGCGUGGUGUAGCGGUGAAAUGCAUAGAUAUCACGCAGAACUCCGAUUGCGAAGGCAGCAUACCGGCGCUCAACUGACGCUCAUGCACGAAAGCGUGGGUAUCGAACAGGAUUAGAUACCCUGGUAGUCCACGCAGUAAACGAUGAAUACUAACUGUCCGGGCAGAAUGAUGCCUGG
rnacentral:rRNA from 1 species